UACGGAGGGGGCUAGCGUUGUUCGGAAUUACUGGGCGUAAAGCGCGCGUAGGCGGCUUUGUAAGUUAGAGGUGAAAGCCCGGAGCUCAACUCCGGAAUUGCCUUUAAGACUGCAUCGCUAGAAUCAUGGAGAGGUUAGUGGAAUUCCGAGUGUAGAGGUGAAAUUCGUAGAUAUUCGGAGGAACACCAGUGGCGAAGGCGGCUCACUGGUCCGGUACUGACGCUGAGGUGCGAAAGCGUGGGGAGCAAACAGG
rnacentral:rRNA from 1 species